CCUCUGAAGUUUCCCUCAGGAUAGCUGGUGCUCUCACACGACCACCCAUGCAGUUUUAUCCGGUAAAGAGAAUGAUUAGAGGUCUUGGGGCCAAAAUGAUCUCAAC
ensembl:miRNA